AUUGAACGCUGGCGGCAGGCCUAACACAUGCAAGUCGAGCGGCAGCACAAGUGAGUUUACUCAUGAGGUGGCGAGCGGCGGAUGGGUGAGUAAUGCCUAGGGAUCUGCCCAGUCGAGGGGGAUAACAGUUGGAAACGACUGCUAAUACCGCAUACGCCCUACGGGGGAAAGAGGGGGACUUUCGGGCCUCUCGCGAUUGGAUGAACCUAGGUGGGAUUAGCUAGUUGGUGAGGUAAUGGCUCACCAAGGCGACGAUCCCUAGCUGUUCUGAGAGGAUGAUCAGCCACACUGGGACUGAGACACGGCCCAGACUCCUACGGGAGGCAGCAGUGGGGAAUAUUGCACAAUGGGGGAAACCCUGAUGCAGCCAUGCCGCGUGUGUGAAGAAGGCCUUCGGGUUGUAAAGCACUUUCAGUAGGGAGGAAAGGUUGUAAGUUAAUACCUUGCAGCUGUGACGUUACCUACAGAAGAAGGACCGGCUAACUCCGUGCCAGCAGCCGCCGUAAAAC
rnacentral:rRNA from 1 species